rnacentral:lncRNA from 1 species
GACUGCAGAUUUAUACAGGCACAGCCGGGGCAGCCCGGGGGCCUGCAGCCAACUGAGCCACUCAUACUUAUUCAGAUCUUCUUCUCAAAGAGAGAAAGAUGGUACAUGCCCUUUGCAGGCCACAGUGAUGAAGAUGAAAAUGAAAGUGCAGUGGUGAUGAUUUCAGAUAACAGGGACGGGGAAAAGCUUUAAAAUCCCUCCCCCUGCUCCUAAUUGGUCCUUUAUACCAUGAGCUCUGGCUCCGCCCAGGAUGUGGUGGUGGAGAAUUUCCUGCGUGACAUAGAGAGGCGGGGCCAGUGGCUGCACUGCGCUGUUAUUGGCUGUGAGGAGGAGCAUCCCUGUGGCGACAUGAACCUUUUGUACCGCAAAAGUCGACAGGAUUGGAGACACAGAGAUCAGGAGGGCAAGAAAAGACGUAAAGAGAUUCACAAGAGGUCACCCACGCAUGCUUGCUCUCUGUCUGGAGGAUCUGUCCACUUCCUCCCUCUCUCGUCCUCCCACUCAAUCCCUCAAUCCUCCACCUCUCUGCUGCUGAAUGCAGAUGAUUCUCAUUCAUUUAUCCCUCCCUCCCUGUUCCCCUCUCUUUUCCCACAUCUUGAAUGGAUGAAUCGAGUGAAUCACUUAGCAUGUUAGUAAACUGAUUUUGCACACUAAUGUGCCUUUAAACUCAAGACUCAGAUAAAGCCAUGUAAGAGCCACAUGUUGUGCAGCCUAAAGCAAAACAGCAGAAAUAGAGCAGACAUGAAUUGUUUAGUUCCCUGUACCUUUGAGCUUUCAUUCUGCCAUGUGAAGCAUCGUGUCAAAUGAAACCGAACAACCUAAAAUCCUCAGCUAUGAGAACAAACCUCAUAUGACUCAUAGACUGUUCCCUCUCAUUUUGCUUUCAGGCACAGAUUUUCUUUCAAACCUUUUUUGGCACAAAUGGGUUACAAACCAUGGCAUUUAUUUUCUGCACUGAUUAGUUUAAAACUUUGGUAUAUACUACCAUUCAAAUGUUUUAGGUAUGUAGGUUAAAAAUAAUAUAAAAUGAGCAUAAAUUAUCUUACUUAUGACACUUAUGAUAUAAGUAUCACUAUUUCCUCAAAAAUAUUAAGCAGCACAAAUGUUUACACAAACAUUGAUAAUAAUAAGAAAAGCUUCUUGAGAAGCAAAUCAGCAUAUUAAAAUGAUUUCUGAAGGAUCAUGUGACACUUCAGAAUGGAGUAAUGAUUCUUAAAAUGUAGUUUUACCAUCAUAGGAAUAAAUUAAAUUAUAAAAGUUAAUAUAAAUUCAUAUAUUAAAGGCACAAUAUGUAAUUUUUCGCCGCUAAAGGGACGCGUAUUCAAAAAUGAUAUAAGUAUCACUAUUACCUCAAAAAUAUUAAGACAGCACAAAUGUUUAACACAAACAUUAGAUAAUAAUAAGAAAAGCUUCUUGAGAAGCAAAUCAGCAUAUUAAAAUAGAUUUCUGAAGGAUCAUGUGACACUUCAGAAUGGAGUAAUGAUUCUUAAAAUGUAGUUUUACCAUCAUAGGAAUAAAUUAAAUUAUAAAAGUAAUAUAAAUUCAUAUAUUAAAGGCACAAUAUGUAAUUUUUCGCCGCUAAAGGGCGCGUAUUCAAAACAAACAUAGAAAAAAAGGCGUAGUUUGAUGAUGCCGUGACUGAAUGUGGAAUCAAGGGAGUUGUCAUCUUCAUCCCCACAGCUGAUGCAAUCCGAUGGGACAGAAAUCAUGUUCAUGGAUGAGCUAAUGUAUUAAAGAUUUAUUAACGUCAUAAUAUGAAACCGAGUAAGGCAGAAGGCCGUCGAAGCGAAACAAGGCUGCUGAAGCGUGACACACGGCUCAAAAGCAGCGGAGCUUUUAUUAUGCCACAGUCGACUGCUUCCGCUCUUUCUGGUUGUGCGGAUGUGGGGUAAAGCAGUGCUGUUUUAUUGUACUAGAUACAUUUGAAAGUUCUGUCUCAAUGCUACUUUGUGCGGUCGUCACCUGUCUAAUAAAACACAUAACAUAUUAAAGCGUCUUUGGUGUUUCCAUGUUCUACAAAACAAAACCGGAAAUCGAGGGUGUGUGACAUCAUUGACAGGCGACACAAUGACACUAUGGACACGGUCCGUGUCACUAGUUAAAAUUGCUUAUUUCUCUGGAUUUAAACAUUCUUUGAAACAUUUGGGAUAAUGUAAGUACACAAGUCAGCAAAAUAUAUAACACUAUUCUAGUAGUUCUUGGAUGUUUUAAUAAAAAAAUCUUACAUAUUGUGCCUUUAAUAUAUAUGUUAUAUAUUAAAAUUUAAAACAACUACUUUAAAUUAUAAUAACAUCCCACAAUAUUACUGUUUUUACUGUGAUCAAAUAAAGCAGCCUUGGUGACUUGGUGACUUCUUCAAAAGCAUUUCUAUCAUGAACUCUGAAGAUUUUAGCAUGGUAGUGGACAUGACAAUGUUAAUGUAUUUGGUCUUGGUGGAAUAGAUCUGCUACACUGCUAAAUUGCUGCUGCUGUUGGUUAUUAAGUUGGCUUGAAAAAGCCGACUUACUGAAAUCCUAUUUAAACCGUCUUUUCUUCUUCUUCUUCUUCUUCUUCUUCUUCUGAAACCAAAUUUUAAAAUGUAUCUCCUCCUUGACUUUUAAGUCUACGUCCACAUGAAGUCGGAGCUUUACUUAUCCAAUUUUUUUCUCUCCUCAUCUCAAGAAAUAUCCACGUCCACAUUAAACCGACAUCAAAACGAUGUAGUAUACAUGCCAGACCAGUAUGUGGCGCUGUAAUUCUGCCACAGAGAUACACUAAAAAUGGAGAAGAAGACUUGGACCAUGCACAUAAACCUUGUGCGCGGUAUACAAACGAACAUGGAACAAUACAUUUAUUAAUCUGUGUUAAUGUUAGUUAAUAAAAAGACAAUCGUUCAGUGUUUGUUCAUGUUUUGGUUGCUCUUACAUGACGUAGCAGUGUCUGACUAGGGGCAAGACGUGGGCUGAUGACGUCGUCAUUUCAGAAAAUAUACAGAUUCACUGACCACACGAAUACACAAGGGUAGCGUUUUCAGAUUUAUCCACUCCGUGACCCAGUUUCAAAAAAUAUUGAUUUCACUCUUCCCUAUACGAUACAAAAUUUAUGCAUAUACAGCUAAACAUGUCUCCGUGUGGACAGGGCCUAAAGCUACAACCACCAAACUCAGGUCAAACCUUCAGACUGGUCUGACUUGGGUUGCUCUAUCUGUUGUAACUGAUCCGGCUUACGGUUUUUGUAAACCAGACUAUCAAACCACCAAAAAUCCCAUAGACUUUCAUUGAGGGGGUGAAACUUUUAUACAAUAAGACUUAUGGUGUAUUUAAGCUGUCUAUUGCUAUAGCAAAGCUUAACAACUCCCUACAGAAAAAAAAAAAGAACUAAAACCAAGCCUAAGACUGAUUGGUUUUAAAGUUAGGUUUUGGUCCACUUUUUAGUCAGGCCAGACUGGUCUUAGCUGGUUUUUAGUCUGGUUUUUU